CUGUUUCCCUGAGGAGAUAUUCGUGAGUGACUGAAGAGUGGCUUGCAGAGCGUGGUUGUUAGGAGCCAGAUUAUGGUUGUGUGGUGUUUUUGUUUGUGUGUGUUUUGUGUCUCCUUUUUUGGCAUAGGUAAGUGGGGCAGCUAUUCACUGAACCUGGCACACCUGUUACCCUUCGGACGCUUUUUUCUAAAGCAUUCUUUAGGAGCUGCCCAACAGAGGACUAGUGUCGGAGUAUUGACUUUUCUGCAGUGCCUGAUUUUCGUCUCUCUCUUUCUCUGGGUCGCCUCGUUUGGUUUGUUUCUGGAGGUUUUGGCAAACAGUACCAAAGUGCACUACCAGUGUGCGUCUGUUCACCUGCACGUCCACACUGUAAAAUGUAAUAUUGUGUUUAAUUAAAAAUAUUAAAUAGGCUGAACUCAAUUUUUAUCGAUUUAUUGUUAUUAGAACUCGAUUUACAUAAGUUACCAGUACUUUUUAUGCAAAAACGCUGAUAAACUCCAUUUAUUU
ensembl:lncRNA